rnacentral:rRNA from 1 species
UACGGAGGAUGCAAGCGUUAUCCGGAAUGAUUGGGCGUAAAGCGUCCGCAGGUGGCAAUGUAAGUCUGCUGUCAAAGCGUCUGGCUCAACCAGAUAAAGGCAGUGGAAACUACAUAGCUAGAGUAAGGUAGGGGUAGAGGGAAUUCCUGGUGUAGCGGUGAAAUGCGUAGAGAUCAGGAAGAACACCGGUGGCGAAAGCGCUCUGCUGGACCUUAACUGACACUGAGGGACGAGAGCUAGGGGAGCGAAUGGG